GACGAACGCUGGCGGCGUGCCUAAUACAUGCAAGUCGAACGAAGCUGUUUUAACUGGUGCUUGCACCGACUUAAACAACUGAGUGGCGAACGGGUGAGUAACACGUGGGUAACCUGCCCCAAAGCGGGGGAUAAUAUUUGGAAACGGAUGCUAAUACCGCAUAACCACAGAAACCACAUGCUUUCUGUGCCAAAGAUGGUUUGGGCUAUCACUUUGGGAUGAACAUGCGGCGUAUUAGCUAGUUGGUAAGGUAAUGGCUUACCAAGGCAAUGAUACGUAGCCGAACUGAGAGGUUGAUCGGCCACAUUGGGACUGAGACACGGCCCAAACUCCUACGGGAGGAAGCAGUAGGGAAUCUUCCACAAUGGACGAAAGUCUGAUGGAGCAACGCCGCGUGAGUGAAGAAGGUUUUCGGAUCGUAAAACUCUUGUGUCAGAGAAGAACGUGUGCGAGAGUAACUGCUCGUGCAGUGACGGUAUCUGGCCAGAAAGCCACGGCUAACUACGUGCCAGCAGCAGCCGCCG
rnacentral:rRNA from 1 species